ensembl:lncRNA
UUUUAUCCUGCAUCUAAGAACUUCUGUUUUUGGUGUGAAAAGGGCCCAUUUAGUUAUAUAAUAGCAUAUAAUUUCCUUGUAGUGAACAAUUGCCUUGUAUAGUAGCAAACAAUUUCCUUGUAUAGCAGUGUACAAUUGACUUGUAUAGUAGUGAACAAUUUCCUUGUAUAGCAGUGUACAAUUUCCUUGUAUAGCAGUGUACAAUUGACUUGUAUAGCAGUGUACAAUUUCCUUGUAUAGCAGUGUACAAUUGACUUGUAUAGCAGUGUACAAUUGACUUGUAUAGCAAUGUACAAUUUCCUUGUAUAGCAGUGUACAGUUGACUUGUAUAAUAGUGAACAAUUGACUUGUAUGGUAGUGAAGAGUUCAGGUUUAAUUUAUUACCUGAACCCUUUACUAUCAUACAAGUUAAUUGUUCAAUACUAUACAAGGCAAUUGUUCACUACUCAACUGUUCAAUUUCUACCUAUCCCCAUGUGCACUCACUACAUCACUUAUCUUGGUUUCAAAGAUCUCUGCCAAGCUGUCAGACCUGCAUAAACUCAAUUUUAUCCCAUUAUCAAACACCAUAAAUAAUGAUCUCCAACCCUGGAUAAACCUUCUCCUCUCUCUCAUUGGCAGAAUAGCAUCAUUUUCAAUGAUCCCUGCUCAACCUCCCCCCUUCCUGGUUCAAAUCACUCAAUUCCAUUAUUUUAAAAUUUAAUUGGGAAAACAAACCUCCCAGAAUCAAAUGAACUACUUUACAAAGACCCAAACAUUAUGGAUGACUUGAUGCCCCAAACUUUCAAACUUUCAACUAACUCGCUAACCAACUCCAAUAUAUAAUCAAGUGGAUAAAACCCUGUCAGAUUAAUGAGAUACGGCUAGAUGCAGAACAGGGACUAUGCAAAGCAAUCAGAAUCUUGGAUAUACCAUUCAUCAGCACAGCAAUCAAAUGCUAUUCCUGCUUCAAAAGCCCAACGAUUGCAGGGACUUUAACAGCUGGGUGGAAAUUUGAUAAAACUAUAAUUUCAGUAAAAUACACCAGACGAUUACAUACAUGCCAUAUGGGCAGUUAAGAAUGUCUCGGAUCAAAUCACUAAGGAAAAAUCUCGUUUUAUAAAUCACAUCAUCCCACUCUUCCCUUCAAUCUGCUUACUCAAAGAUACAUCUGAGAUCAACAGGAAAAUACAAAACAGUUCUUCUUACAGCGCUGACCAUCGACAAGAAAACCAUACUAACAGACUGGAAAUCAAAGAAUAACAUUAAUAUCACCCAUUAUAAAAACCUAAUAAUCAACUACUUAACAAUGGAAAAAAUCUCUGCCUCGAUCAAAACUAAAGCUACCAAAUUUGACUCUAUUUGGACACCACUCAUCACCUACAUACACCAGGGAAUCACCUCACAAUCUCUAGCAAUACAGUCCCUACAGACAAACCACAUAAUCAAAGCCAUACCACACAUCUCAAGAACAAUGCUCACAAACACAUGCAGCUAAAUUACACACACAUACACACAACAUUCUGUUAUACGUAUUAAUUAACACAACCGACACCCCAACAACUUCUCUUUGUACACUCCUCCCAUACCACCCCCCAUUCCCCCCGACCUCUCAACCCACCGUCCUGGCUUGCACAAUGUCCAUGUCGCGUCUGCUGUCCUGUCUUGUCUGUUGUUCUCAUUGACUGUCCUGUCUGUUAAAUUCUACACCCACCAUUCAAACAUACUAACCCUGAAAAAUAAAGUACAACACACAAAACUCUUACAUAAACAUGCUUACAUAAACAUGAACUGAAACAUAUUACAGUGACAGAAUUUUGAAAUAGAUAUUAAUCUACCCUCACAGACAAACAUUAUAACAUUUUAUGUCGUACAGAGAUAUCUCAAUUAAGUAGAUAUUAAUGAAAUCCAGAGAUAAUAGAUGUGUCUAUUAGGGAGCGAGGUGGGAUACAGCUCCUUACUUGCUAUAUAACCGCACUAUAUAAUGUAUGAUACGAAUGUAGUACUUCAUCCUAUGUAGUGUAAAGAAUCCCAUGAGAUUGGUCCAUUAUUUUAUAAUCAAACUGGUGCAUUACCUCUCUCUCUCUUUUAGCUAAGAAAAGUUUUCUUAGCUAAAAAAGUAGAAAAUACCUCUCCUGAUUAGAUAUAUAAUUAGUUGAUAGUAAAAAAAAGCUAAUAUUGAACAGCCAAAAGGUCAUGUUUUGUUAGCUGGUAUCUGUACAUGAUUUCAUCCUUACAGCAGGUCAGGUCUGGAG